CGCUAUCUGUUUGUUGAUGCUGAUGCUGAUGCUGCUGCUGCUUCUCUCUCUUUCAUUUGGAUAUGGUAAGAAAAGAAAGAAAGCAAAAUGCACAAAGCAACUCUAACUUACUUCCCUCCUUUGUCUCUCCUGCCUCCUCCAAGACUCCCCCCAAAACCCCUAAAAUCCGUUCUGAAAACCACAGACAGCGGCCUUCUCUUCCACGACAAACUCCACUACCUCAAAUCCCUCAAAAUCAACACCCAAAAAGCCCUAACCCAAAACCCUGAUCUCCGAUCCACCCCUCUCUCCACCCUCCGCUCCGUCGAGCACUCCCUCACCUCAAUGGGUCUUCGCCGCGCCGAAAUCGGCCGAAUUCUCGAUAUGCACCCAAUACUUCUCACCUCAGACCCACAUAUUUCUCUCUACCCAAUCUUUGAUUUCCUUAUCCAUGAAGUCAAAAUCCCCUUUCCUGAUAUCUCUAAAUCAAUUUCUCGCUGUCCUAGAUUGUUAGUUUCUAGUGUAGAUAAUCAAUUAAGACCUGCACUUUAUUUUCUUCGUAAUUAUCUUGGCUUCGUAGGUCCCUUUGAUAUUAAUUCUCAAACAACAAUGUUGUUAGUAUAUAAUGUUGAGACUACUUUAAUGGGUAAGAUUGAGUUUUUGUUGGGUUUAGGAUUUAGGUUUUAUGAUGUUAAAAAUAUGGUUGUUAGAUCACCUGGGAUUUUGACUUUUAGUGUUGAGAAUAAUUUGGUGCCUAAAGCUGAUUACUUCUUAAAGGACAUGAAUGGGGACCUGGAGGAAUUGAAGAGGUUCCCGCAGUAUUUUUCGUUUAGUUUGGAGCGUAAGAUUAAGCCUAGACAUAGAAUGUUGGCUGACUGUGGAAUUCAGCUUCCUUUGUGGAAAAUAUUGAAGGUCAGUGAUGGUGAAUUCAAUGCUAGAUUGCUUGAAAUGCGGUUAGCAAUGGCUGGGGAGGAGACUUAGAUGCACCAUUCGAUAUUAUCUUGCAAGUCCGUGUUUUACUCAUUUUCCUCAUGUCAUAUUAUUGAUGCACCUCUUACUGUUUGGCUAAUCACUUUUGAAGGUAAAGGUUUCAUAUAAGAUUGUGGCUUUUAUUUGGUCGGUGGUCCUUUCUUGGGAUAAAAAUGGACACUUGAGAGCGAGGUCUGACUCUGCGGAUACCUAAAGAGACUUCAUCUCUUGAGGUUUGUUAGGUCUUACAGCAUUUGGGCCUUGUACUCAUCUUGCAUUGCAGAGUUUCUUGAUCUAUAUGAGAAUUAACUUUUGGGUAUUCUGGGAAAGCAUUAAGUUUCUCAUUUACUGAUUUUAAGAACAUAAGAGAUUUGGAUGUUGAAAAGAGGCACAAUGGUUGUUCUGCGGACCCAGGGGCAGAACUAGAAAAUUUAGUAAGGGGGCAAUAAAAAAAUUCAACUAAACUCAUGAGCACAUUAAUUAGUAUUAUGCUAUAUUCAGUUUUCAUUAAUAUUGAGAAAUGAUUCACAUGACACCCUUCACACAGUUAAAAAAAAAAUGCAUUUAAUCAAAUUAAAUUCAUAAAAUAUAGAAGUUAUUUUGCAUUUUAAUGAGAGAUUACUAUGAAAGAAUUGAAAACCCUAACUUCCAAAUCUUCAGUUUCUUUAAGGAAAAUUAAACUUUAGUUAAAGAAAUUUAGUGCUACAAAAGAGAGACAGAGGAAAAUAGAUAUUAAAUUUGAACAGAUGAUGGAAUCUGAAAUAUAGAGCUGCAAUGGGUCUUGUUUUCCUUUUUGGUUUGUGUCUGUAUAACUUUUCUUUCUUUUCAAUGACCAGGUACAAACUACAGAGCUGUUUUAUGUUUUAUUGGCCUAAUACUUAGAUGGCCUUUCUCAUGUUUAAUUUUUAUAAAGUUGGGCUUGAGAAUUAUACUGUACUUCUUCUGCAAAGUUUGAGUAGGCCCAUUUUGAAUAAGCAAACUAACCUUUACUCUCUCUCUCUCUCUUUCUCUCUCUCUUAAGCAGUAUGGAGCCGUUCUUAUUUUCUGUGUUUACAAAUGGUAUGGGGUCUUUAGCUAGGGAGGGAUGUGAAGGUCAAGUUUCAUUUUUAAGAUUGGUUUUUGGGUUGUAUUUAUGAAAAGGGAUGCAUAAUAUAGAUAGCUAACCUGGUUAGGAGGAUUUAUAUCAAAAUUUUCAGGGGAUUCCUAGUUUACAUAAUUCUUAUUAGUCCUUUUUAUUUGAAAAUCUUGUAUAUAGAAAUGCUUAUACUGACUCUUGUGGAUGGUUGAUGCUGCUGCCUUUUUUAAUGGAUAUUUGCGGUUGUGCUUAUUCACUAAAUUUCAACUUAUUUAACAUAAAAACUUUAAAGGUCCUAAGGAUCUUCUAAAAUAUUUUGAAGAUUGUUGGUGAAACUUGCUUGUUUACUUUUCUAAAGUGUUGGUACAUGUUAGUUGCCUACUGUCUGGUGCUCAUGGACAAUGCUUAUGCACCUACAGUGUUUAGUAUCUCCUUGCAUGGAGUUGUUUAUUUUCUGCUUUCUCCAGGUUAAUUUCUCUUUGUAGUUUCUAGGACUCUUUCACACAUGUGCACAAAUUAUCCAGACUGUUGAUCUAAACUCUUAUGUAGUUCUUUUGGGAAGGAAGUUAAUGGUUUGCACGUCCUCCUUCACACCCAUAGGCUGUAUCAUACAUUGUUCCUUUCACAAUUGUUCUAUGUUAUGUAAUCCAAGAUACUAAAAGUUGAGCACCCAGUCAUGGUUGAAGUGCUCAAAGUUAAAUUUUCAGCUCUCCUCUUGGUUAUCCAUAUGUUAUCAUAAUAUUGCUCUUUUAGCAAAAUAUUAUGGUGAUUGAGCAUAAUCUUUAUCAUAUGAGCUUCCUUUCCUUCAAUGUGAAAGUAGGGGAGAGGGUGGCAGUUGGAGAGCAAAAGCCUUUUUCCCCCCCUUUUUUGUAACAUUUCUUUUUAUUUUGGUGUGUUGCUUCUUCCUGAAUAAUUUGCAUUGAUAAUUUUCCAUCUGUAAAAUGGCAUAACCAGUGAAUACUUUAAUAAAAGUGCAUGGUUUGGCGGGAGUUGUAACCUUGAGAUUGAUAUAUAUGUACUCGAAUUUCUUUUUUCCUUUAGUGGGAUAGAAUGUGUACAAAGGCGUUCAGUUUGUUUCACUUGCUUAACAUUUUAGUAUGUUAGAGAGAUUAGAAUGUCACUGAGAGGCAUUUGGAUGUCAUGUUCGUGAUUGUUUGUGAUUGCUGAUGCUAAGCUAGUUCUUGGGAAAUGUUCUUUAUUAUGCAUUUUAUAAUGACGCCCUAGAUGUGGGGUAAUUUAGUAAAUGCAAUGAUUUAAGAUUUUUUUGCACAAAUUACACAGUAUAAAGAAUCUGUCAAACCUGCUCCGCUGGUUUCUUAUGAUCAUGAAGGGUGUGGCAUGAAUAAAUCACAUUUAAGAAAAUAUAAUAAUUACUGGGUUUUUCUGAAUAAGCAUGAACUCUUAAGGAACUUGAAUAAAUAAUCUAUUAGUUGCACAUUUUUGUAGAUCUCUAUAUUUAUACUGGAGUACUUUCCUACUUUUGGAACAAAGACAGCCAAGAAAUAUUGCAAUGAUUAACUUGCUGGAACUUGUGGGCAGUGGGAAGGUGAAGCGAUUGGAUGCGGAUUAUGGUCAAUGGGCUAGGGUCAUGUUGAAUGUAAACCAUUCUGCUAAGGGGUGAUAAUCAGAAUAAAGCAAAUGAGGAUCAUUCACCAGUUGGCAGGCCUCUCUUUCCCUUCCUCCAGUGUUAAUACUACAUGGGGCCGUACUGGAGAAACUGUCAAUUCUGCGGGUCAGUUUGAGGCGGAACUGUGAAUUCUUCUCUUUCCUUGGUGAUUAGAUGGUUUGUGGAGGAGUGCAGGUCUGGUGGCAUGGGAAAAAUCAACAAAAUACUGAUUGCUGAUAGUCAUACUCUUGAUGCUUUGCUUUAAACCUUAGAAGCUUUCAGGGGUGAUGACAAUGACCUGACACGGGGGAGGAGCUUAGAGCAAGCAACUUUGUUGCGCCAUGGCAAUAAAGUGCUGAUGUUGGAGGGAUUGUCAUGUGUCAUUUAGCUACGAUGUCUGGAUGUAUAUUCAUAUUUUCAUAUGGAAGUAAGAAGUUUGACUGGGAGGGGAUGAUAACACACAGAUUACGCAGUCGGCGUCCAUUGUAAGACCGAGGAGGAUUAAAUCAACAACGAUUAGAGAGCGUGAGGUUUAGUUUCUUCCGUAGUGCCAGUGGACAGCAGCAGUGAAUUAGUUGAACUUUUCUCCUGCAUUAGAAAGCAGACCGUUACUGCCUUAAUGGCAAAUCAUUUCGGUUGUACUUAAAUUUAACUUGGGAAAAAAAUAAAUAAAUUUUGGAAA